GUGGGGAAUAUUGGACAAUGGGCGAAAGCCUGAUCCAGCAAUGCCGCGUGAGUGAUGAAGGCCUUAGGGUUGUAAAGCUCUUUUACCCGGGAUGAUAAUGACAGUACCGGGAGAAUAAGCUCCUGCUAACUCCGUGCCAGCAGCCGCGGUAAUACGGAGGGAGCUAGCGUUGUUCGGAAUUACUGGGCGUAAAGCGCACGUAGGCGGCUUUGUAAGUUAGAGGGGAAAGCCUGGAGCUUAACUCCAGAACUGCCUUUAAGACUGCAUCGCUUGAAUCCAGGAGAGGUGAGUGGAAUUCCGAGUGUAGAGGUGAAAUUCGUAGAUAUUCGGAAGAACACCAGUGGCGAAGGCGGCCAACUGGACGGGAACUGACGCUGAGGUACGAAAGCGUGGGGAGCAAACAGGAUUAGAAACCCGUGUAGUCC
rnacentral:rRNA from 1 species